ensembl:lncRNA LINC03042 long intergenic non-protein coding RNA 3042
ACCUAUGAACCACCUACGAAUUGUGAGAAGGAAAUUGCAGAUGUGGCUGUUGGAGGAGCCAAGGAAGAGACCAACCUGGGGGAUGAGAACACAGGCACGUGUGCUGGAGUGGACCUGAGCCUGAACAAAGGCUUAUGAGAAUACAGGCCACUGGGAGAGACUCGCAUCUGUGGUUUCUUCAAAAACACAGCAGCCCACAGUGAUCUCUCAUUCUUCCAUUUCUAUCACAUUCAGUCAUUACCCUCCAGCCACACUGGACUCCUUUCUUGUCCUGGAACCUAUCAAACUCUUUCCUGUCUCAAGCCUCCGCAGUCCUCUCUGCUUGAACUGUGGCUCCUGCAGAGAAAGCAUCAGAAUCUCCGGGGAACUGAUUGGAAAUGCACAUUCUCCAGCCCCGCCCAGAACUCCUGAAUUAGAAACCCUGGGGUGGGACAAGCAAGCCGUGCUUUCUGGGGCACAGGUGAUUCUGGUGUGUGCUGAAGUUUAAGAACCACUGGCCGAGAACAUUCUUAGGUCUGCUCUUCUUUUGCCCGGCCCCUCCCUCGCGGAGGAAUUCCUUCUUAUUCCUCUCUGAAGAGUGGCUGCUGCCAAAAAACGUUUGUGAGAUGGCCUGGGUUUUCUUUGUUGAUUUAUCAUUUAGUUUGGAAGAAAUCAGAAGUCUCUUUAAGAAGCCAAUUUGAAACAUUCACCCCAUGGGAACAGUUCUGGAUGAAGUCAGAAGAUCUGGAGGCAGCGCAGUAACACACGUAGGUUUUCUGGCCAUAUGGACAUUUCAGAGAAAACAACGCACAGAGGCCUGGAGCAGGUGAACUGGCUUAAGUAGAGAGAAACUAAGUCAUUUGGGGAUAUUUAGCACCUAAUGUCAAGGCAGAAAUGUCUAAGAUGUAAUUAACAGUUAUAUUCUAAUCUCAAUAGUAGCUAAGUACAGACUUAAACAUAAGCCUGUAUAUAACAAAAUAACCCCAGGAGAACCAAAGAAAAUCUAGAAGUUGCUGCUAAAAACAGUUAUGUUAGUGAUACCUAGGAAAGUUUUUUUUCUUUUAACAUGUCAUUGUGGUUUACAAAUGAAAAUUGAGGCCGGGCGUGGUGGCUCACGCCUGUAAUCCCAGCACUUUUGGAGGCCAAGGUGGGCGAAUCACAAGGUCAGGAGUUCAAGACCAGUCUGGCCAACAUGGUGAAACCCCAUCUUUACUAAAAAUACAAAAAA